rnacentral:rRNA from 1 species
UACGGGGGGGGCAAGCGUUGUUCGGAAUUACUGGGCGUAAAGGGCUCGUAGGCGGCCAACUAAGUCCGACGUGAAAUCCCUCAGCUUAACUGGGGAACUGCGUGUGAUACUGGAUGGCUUAGAUUUGGGAGAGGGAUGCGGAAUUCCAGGUGUAGCGGUGAAAUGCGUAGAUAUCUGGAGGAACACCGGUGGCGAAGGCGGCAUCCUGGACCAAUAUUGACGCUGAGGAGCGAAAGCCAGGGGAGCAAACGGG